rnacentral:rRNA from 1 species
AUUGAACGCUGGCGGCAGGCUUAACACAUGCAAGUCGAGCGAGCGGCGGACGGGUGAGUAAUGUCUGGGAAACUGCCUGAUGGAGGGGGAUAACUACUGGAAACGGUAGCUAAUACCGCAUACCAUCAGAUGUGCCCAGAUGGGAUUAGCUAGUAGGUGGGGUAACGGCUCACCUAGGCGACGAGCCCUAGCUGGUCUGAGAGGAUGACCAGCCACACUGGAACUGAGACACGGUCCAGACUCCUACGGGAGGCAGCAGUGGGGAAUCUUCCGCAAUGGACGAAAGUCUGACGGAGCAACGCCGCGUGAGUGAAGAAGGUCUUCGGAUUGUAAAGCACUUUAAGUUGGGAGGCGUUACCAACAGAAUAAGCACCGGCUAACUUCGUGCCAGCAGCCGCGGUAAUUC